rnacentral:lncRNA from 1 species
AAGCUGGCUUAAGCCUGGGCUGCAGCAGUCCUUCUCAGCCUCAUACAUCCAGACGGAAAGAUGCCACCAAGAGAAGGAACCGCAGGGCUCCCUAGAGCAAAGCCACUGUGUAGACAGGAGGAAGCCCAGGGACCUUGCAGAAUUCUGCCUUGGGGCAAGACAUGCAGUUCCAGCUGUGCUGGGGCAAGCUCUUGCAUACCUGCUGCCGACCCGCCUUGACACCCAUCGCUCAUCUCCUGCACCUGAAAGACUGCGAGGCCGGGAGGGGUGCGCGGGAGACCACUACUGGCGGCCUGGCAGCCCCCUCUUUCAUCCUGCCUGGCCACCCGCCCCUGGCGCCCCCGUGCGCUGACGCUUAUGGCCACAAGGGGGCGCUGGCGCCCUCUGCGCAGUCCCUCCACAGACCGGGAGAACAAAGGAUCCCUGGGGUCGGCCUCCCCCGGAGACACCUGCUUGCAGGGUAGGGCGCCCCUCACCCUCCCGGGAAGGAGUUAAUUUUUUCUCAAGGCUCCUCCUUGAAGUCUGUUAAAGAAAUCGUCGCCCCCUUGAUGGCCUUUCC